rnacentral:rRNA from 1 species
UACGAAGGGUGCAAACGUUGCUCGGAAUUAUUGGGCGUAAAGCGCACGUAGGCGGUCCUGUAAGCCGGAUGUGAAAUCCCUCGGCUUAACCGAGGAAGUGCAUCCGAAACUGCGGGACUUGAGUAUGGAAGAGGGUCGCAGAAUUCCCGGUGUAGAGGUGAAAUUCGUAGAUAUCGGGAGGAAUACCAGUGGCGAAGGCGGCAUCCUGGCCCUGUCCUGACGCUCAGGGGCGAAAGCGUGGGGAGCAAACCGG